rnacentral:rRNA from 1 species
GGCUCCGGUGCUUGCACUGGAAGACCCGAGUGGCGAACGGGUGAGUAACACGUGACCGACCUGUCCUAGGGUGAGGGAUAACCCGGGGAAACCUGGACUAAUACCGCAUGAUGUCACACUUCCGCAUGGUCGUGUGAUCAAAGGGGGCCUCUACAUGUAAGCUCUCGCCCAAGGAGGGGGUCGCGACGUAUCAGCUUGUUGGUGGGGUAAUGGCCUACCAAGGCUACGACGCGUAGCGGAUCUGAGAGGAUGAUCCGUCACAUUGGGACUGAGAUACGGCCCAGACUCCUACGGGAGGCAGCAGUAGGGAAUAUUGCGCAAUGGGCGAAAGCCUGACGCAGCGACGCCGCGUGUGGGAGGAAGCCUUUCGGGGUGUAAACCACUGUCAGAGGGGAAGAACCGCGACUUUUCGAACAGAGAGUCGUCUGACGGUACCCUCAGAGGAAGCGCCGGCUAACUCCGUGCCAGCAGCCGCGGUAAGACGGAGGGCGCAAGCGUUGUUCGGAAUUACUGGGCGUAAAGCGCGGGCAGGUGGUCCGUUAAGUCGUCUGUGAAAACCCGGGGCUCAACCCCGUGGAAUGCAGGCGAAACUGGCGGACUAGAGAUCGGUAGAGGCUAACGGAAUUCCUGGUGUAGCGGUGGAAUGCGUAGAUAUCAGGAAGAACACCAGUGGCGAAGGCGGUUAGCUGGGCCGAGUCUGACACUCAUCCGCGAAAGCGUGGGGAGCAAACAGGAUUAGAUAC